ACUGUGUGAUAACUUGCCCAGAAAUUCUUCUUGUGGAAUCUGUCUUUACAUGGAAACGACUUGGCAAUAUUUGUACAGCAACUGGAAGAAAGGUCUUUGCUGAGAUAUACAAAGAGGCAGAAUGUGUGUGGAUCACCGAUUAGACAAGGCGAAUAGGAGCAGAAUAGAAGAGGAAUGGAAUAGAACUCAAGAUGAUAAAACAUACUGUGUCCAGAAUUUAUUCCUUCCGGUGGGUUCUUGGUCUCACUGACUUUAAGAAUGAAGCUGCGGACCCUCGUGGGACACGCAUGAAAUUUGGUGCCAUGACUCGGAUCAGGGCACCUCCCUUGGGAGAUCAAUCCCUUGUCCUCCUGCUCUUUGCUCGGUGAGAAAGAUCCACCUACGACCUCAGGUCCUCAGACCAACCAGCCCAAGAAACAUCACACCAAUUUCAAAUCCGAAGACAGGAUCAGAGGGAAUACUUCCUAAAUCAUUCUGUGAAGGUACAUUCCUCUAAAGCCAAAACUAUAUUAAGACCUUACAAGAAAAGAAAACUGCAUACCAAUAUCCUUCAUGAACAGAGAUGCAAAAAAUCUUCAAAAUUUGUUAGCAACUAUAUUCAACAGUGAAUAAAAAUAAUUAUACACCAUGACCAAGAUAAAUUUAUUUCAGGCAUGCAAAAAUGGUUCAACAUUUGCAAAUCAAUUAAUGUAAUUCAUCAUAUCGACAUAGUGAGAGGUGAAGCCAGCUGGACUUCCUGGGUCGAGUGGGGACUUGGAGAACUUUUCUGUCUAGCUAGAGGAUUGUAAAUGCACCAAUCAGCACUCUGUGUCUAACUAAAGGAUUGUAAAUGCACCAAUCAGCACUCUGUAAAAAUGCACGAAUCAGCACUUUGUGUCUAGCUAAAGGAUUGUAAACACAGCAAUCAUCACUCUGUAAAAACGCACCAAUCAGUGCUCUGUGUCUAGCUAAAGGACUGUAAAUGCACCAAUCAGCACUCUGUGUCUAGCUAAAGGUUUGUAAACGCACCAGUCAGCACUCUGUAAAAGGAGUUUAUGGGAGGGAGAAUUAGUGGCAAAAGUGCAGGGAAUUUUUAGAACAAUUAAAUGAUUCUAUAUGGCUCUGCAAUGUACAAACAUAGCAUUACGCAUUUGUCAAAACCCAUAAAACUAUAUAACACAAAGAGUGAGCCUUAGUGUAAACCACAAGUUUUAUUUUAUAAUGAUGUAUCAUUAUUAACACAUUAGUUUUAAAAAACACACCACAUUAAUGCAAGAUGUUAAUGGUAAAGUGAAUGUGGGGGUUGGCAUAUGGGAACUCUCUCUACUGUCUGCUCAGUUUUUCUGUAAAUACAAACUGUUCUAUGAAACAGAUAAAGUUUUUAAUAGAAUUUAAUUAAAUGCUAUUAAUUUUUUAAAAAGAAGCUACUUCAUAGAACUCUUGUAUUAAUAUAUACGUGGCAUUUAGAA